UACGUAGGGUGCAAGCGUUAAUCGGAAUUACUGGGCGUAAAGCGUGCGCAGGCGGUGAUGUAAGACAGGUGUGAAAUCCCCGGGCUUAACCUGGGAACUGCAUUUGUGACUGCAUCGCUGGAGUGCGGCAGAGGGGGAUGGAAUUCCGCGUGUAGCAGUGAAAUGCGUAGAUAUCAGGAGGAAUACCGGUGGCGAAAGCGACUCUCUGGACGGCAACUGACGCUGAGGCACGAAAGCGUGGGGAGCAAACAGG
rnacentral:rRNA from 1 species